rnacentral:rRNA from 1 species
UACGUAGGGUGCGAGCGUUAAUCGGAAUUACUGGGCGUAAAGCGUGCGCAGGCGGUUCGUUGUGUCGGUGGUGAAAGCCCCGGGCUUAACCUGGGAAUGGCCAUGGAUACUGUCAAGCUCGAGUCCGGAAGAGGCGAGUGGAAUUCCUGGUGUAGCGGUGAAAUGCGCAGAUAUCAGGAGGAACACCAAUGGCGAAGGCAGCUCGCUGGGACGUGACUGACGCUGAGACGCGAAAGCGUGGGGAGCAAACAGG